CUCAGCACAUGGUAUUAGGGUGCUGGCAGCAAUAAGAUGGCUUGUGAGUGCUGGUCCCGGCAGCUCUGACUGUAUGUACUGGGAAGGAGAAGCUGUGUUUUGAGAAGUUGUUUGGAGGUGGAGUAGUGGGAGAGAAAGGAUGAAAGGUGCAAAGAGGGCUACCAAGGAGUGCGAUGUGACCAAUUUUUGCCGAAAACAGAUUCGAUUUUGUCAGAUCCAAGUGUCAAGAAGGCUAUUCUGGUGACCGCUGCCAGGUUUACUUGUUGCCAAGAA